GAUGAAGAACGCAGCGAAAUGCGAAAAGUAAUGUGAAUUGCAGAAUUCAGUGAAUCAUCGAAUCUUUGAACGCACAUUGCGCCCGCUGGUACUCCGGCGGGCACGCCUGUCCGAGCGUCAUUUCAACCCUCAAGCCCUCCUUCGGGAUGGGCCUGGUGUUGGGGCUCGGCCGCCAUCUCCGGCGGCCGUCCCCUAAAUACAGUGGCGGUCACGUCGCGACUCCUUUGCGUAGUAGAAACACCUCGCUCCGGAUAGCAACGCGGUCCACGCCGUAAAGCCCCCAAUUUUCAAUGGUUGACCUCGGAUCAGGUGGGAAUACCCGCUGAACUUAAGCAUAUCAAUAAGCGGAGGA
rnacentral:misc_RNA from 1 species